UACGUAGGGUCCGAGCGUUGUCCGGAUUUAUUGGGCGUAAAGAGCUCGUAGGCGGUUCCGUAAGUCAGAUGUGAAAACUCAGGGCUCAACCCGGAGACGCCAUCUGAUACUGCGGUGACUGGAGUCUGGUAGGGGAACACGGAAUUCCUGGUGUAGCGGUGAAAUGCGCAGAUAUCAGGAGGAACACCGGUGGCGAAGGCGGGUCUCUGGGCCGAAACUGACGCUGAGGAGCGAAAGCGUGGGGAGCAAACAGG
rnacentral:rRNA from 1 species